rnacentral:rRNA from 1 species
CGGAAUGUGCAAACGUUAUUCGGAAUCACUGGGCUUAAAGAGUCCGUAGGCGGCAUGUUAGGUGAGGUGUGAAAUCCCCCGGCUCAACCGAGGAAUUGCGCUUCAAACCGGCGUGCUUGAGGAAGAUAGAGGUGGGCGGAACUGAUGGUGGAGCGGUGAAAUGCGUUGAUAUUAUCAGGAACACCGGAGGCGAAAGCGGCCCACUGGGUCUUUUCUGACGCUGAGGGACGAAAGCUAGGGGAGCGAACGGGAUUAGAUACCCCGGUAGUCCUAGCCUUAAACGAUGAGCACUAGACCGAAGGAUCUCCACGAUUUUUUGGUCGUAGCGAAAGUGUUAAGUGCUCCGCCUGGGGAGUAUGGUCGCAAGGCUG